CCUACGGGAGGCAGCAGUGGGGAAUAUUGGACAAUGGGCGAAAGCCUGAUCCAGCAAUGCCGCGUGAGUGAUGAAGGCCUUAGGGUCGUAAAGCUCUUUUACCAGGGAUGAUAAUGACAGUACCUGGAGAAUAAGCUCCGGCUAACUCCGUGCCAGCAGCCGCGGUAAUACGGAGGGAGCUAGCGUUGUUCGGAAUUACUGGGCGUAAAGCGUACGUAGGCGGUUAUUCAAGUCAGAGGUGAAAGCCCGGGGCUCAACCCCGGAACGGCCUUUGAAACUAGAUAGCUAGAGUCUUGGAGAGGUCAGUGGAAUUCCGAGUGUAGAGGUGAAAUUCGUAGAUAUUCGGAAGAACACCAGUGGCGAAGGCGACUGACUGGACAAGUACUGACGCUGAGGUACGAAAGCGUGGGGAGCAAACAGGAUUAGAUACCCUGGUAGUCCACGCCGUAAACGAUGAUAACUAGCUGUCCGGGUACUUGGUAUCUGGGUGGCGCAGCUACGCAUUAAGUUAUCCGUCCGUCGGGUAGGUACGGUCGCGAGAAUUAAACUAACAAAGGAAGUUAGACGGCGUGAGACGUGCCGACGGACGACGACGAGGGAGGUAGG
rnacentral:rRNA from 1 species